ensembl:piRNA 21ur-4691 ncRNA
AUCCAAGCGGCCCCUAUGUUC